UACGAAGGGGGCGAGCGUUGUUCGGAUUUACUGGGCGUAAAGGGCGCGCAGGCGGUCUUGAAAGUCAGGCGUGAAAGCCCCGGGCUUAACCUGGGAAUUGCGCUUGAUACUCUGAGACUGGAGUACGGGAGGGGAGAGUGGAAUUCCCAGUGUAGAGGUGAAAUUCGUAGAUAUUGGGAAGAACACCAGUGGCGAAGGCGGCUCUCUGGACCGUAACUGACGCUGAGGCGCGAAAGCGUGGGGAGCAAACAGG
rnacentral:rRNA from 1 species